rnacentral:rRNA from 1 species
UAGGACGUUGCCAGGCUUACACGUUGGAGAAUUAGCUCAGCUGGGAGAGCAUCUGCCUUACAAGCAGAGGGUCGGCGGUUCGAACCCGUCAUUCUCCACCAUUCUUAAUUAAUUAGCCGGCCUAGCUCAAUUGGUAGAGCAACUGACUUGUAAUCAGUAGGUUGGGGGUUCAAGUCCUCUGGCCGGCACCAUCUUUGAGCCAUUAGCUCAGUUGGUAGAGCAUCUGACUUUUAAUCAGAGGGUCAGAGGUUCGAAUCCUCUAUGGCUCAUACGAUUGUUUUAAUAGCCACAUGCGGAAGUAGUUCAGUGGUAGAACACCACCUUGCCAAGGUGGGGGUCGCGGGUUCGAAUCCCGUCUUCCGCUCCAUUAUAUUGCCGGGGUGGCGGAACUGGCAGACGCACAGGACUUAAAAUCCUGCGGUGAGAGAUCACCGUACCGGUUCGAUUCCGGUCCUCGGCACCAUCUUAAAUAAAGCGCCCGUAGCUCAACUGGAUAGAGCGUUUGACUACGGAUCAAGAGGUUAUGGGUUCGACUCCUAUCGGGCGCGUCAUUUAAAUUUUAUUUCUUAUUUAAUUACAUACGGGAAGUAGCUCAGCUUGGUAGAGCACUUGGUUUGGGACCAAGGGGUCGCAGGUUCGAAUCCUGUCUUCCCGACUUCUUAAAUAAUUCGGGGGCUUAGCUCAGCUGGGAGAGCGCCUGCUUUGCACGCAGGAGGUCAGCGGUUCGAUCCCGCUAGUCUCCACCAUUUUAUAAUGAUUAAAUGAACAUUGAAAACUGAAUGACAAUAUGUCAACGUUAAUUCCAAAACAGUAACUUAAAUGUUACAAACACUAUUUAGUAUUAUGAGCUAAUCAAACAUCAUAAAUUUUUAUGGAGAGUUUGAUCCUGGCUCAGGAUGAACGCUGGCGGCGUGCCUAAUACAUGCAAGUCGAGCGAACAGACAAGGAGCUUGCUCCUUUGACGUUAGCGGCGGACGGGUGAGUAACACGUGGGUAACCUACCUAUAAGACUGGGAUAACUUCGGGAAACCGGAGCUAAUACCGGAUAAUAUUUCGAACCGCAUGGUUCGAUAGUGAAAGAUGGUUUUGCUAUCACUUAUAGAUGGACCCGCGCCGUAUUAGCUAGUUGGUAAGGUAACGGCUUACCAAGGCGACGAUACGUAGCCGACCUGAGAGGGUGAUCGGCCACACUGGAACUGAGACACGGUCCAGACUCCUACGGGAGGCAGCAGUAGGGAAUCUUCCGCAAUGGGCGAAAGCCUGACGGAGCAACGCCGCGUGAGUGAUGAAGGUCUUCGGAUCGUAAAACUCUGUUAUUAGGGAAGAACAUACGUGUAAGUAACUAUGCACGUCUUGACGGUACCUAAUCAGAAAGCCACGGCUAACUACGUGCCAGCAGCCGCGGUAAUACGUAGGUGGCAAGCGUUAUCCGGAAUUAUUGGGCGUAAAGCGCGCGUAGGCGGUUUUUUAAGUCUGAUGUGAAAGCCCACGGCUCAACCGUGGAGGGUCAUUGGAAACUGNAAGCAGUGAGAUUGAGUGUUAGGCAAAUCCGGCACUCUUAAGAUUGAGCUGUGAUGGGGAGAGGAAAUUGUUUCCUCGAGUCGUUGAUUUCACACUGCCGAGAAAAGCCUCUAGAUAGAUAAUAGGUGCCCGUACCGCAAACCGACACAGGUAGUCAAGAUGAGAAUUCUAAGGUGAGCGAGCGAACUCUCGUUAAGGAACUCGGCAAAAUGACCCCGUAACUUCGGGAGAAGGGGUGCUCUUUAGGGUGCAAGCCCAGAAGAGCCGCAGUGAAUAGGCCCAAGCGACUGUUUAUCAAAAACACAGGUCUCUGCUAAACCGUAAGGUGAUGUAUAGGGGCUGACGCCUGCCCGGUGCUGGAAGGUUAAGAGGAGUGGUUAGCUUCUGCGAAGCUACGAAUCGAAGCCCCAGUAAACGGCGGCCGUAACUAUAACGGUCCUAAGGUAGCGAAAUUCCUUGUCGGGUAAGUUCCGACCCGCACGAAAGGCGUAACGAUUUGGGCACUGUCUCAACGAGAGACUCGGUGAAAUCAUAGUACCUGUGAAGAUGCAGGUUACCCGCGACAGGACGGAAAGACCCCGUGGAGCUUUACUGUAGCCUGAUAUUGAAAUUCGGCACAGCUUGUACAGGAUAGGUAGGAGCCUUUGAAACGUGAGCGCUAGCUUACGUGGAGGCGCUGGUGGGAUACUACCCUAGCUGUGUUGGCUUUCUAACCCGCACCACUUAUCGUGGUGGGAGACAGUGUCAGGCGGGCAGUUUGACUGGGGCGGUCGCCUCCUAAAAGGUAACGGAGGCGCUCAAAGGUUCCCUCAGAAUGGUUGGAAAUCAUUCAUAGAGUGUAAAGGCAUAAGGGAGCUUGACUGCGAGACCUACAAGUCGAGCAGGGUCGAAAGACGGACUUAGUGAUCCGGUGGUUCCGCAUGGAAGGGCCAUCGCUCAACGGAUAAAAGCUACCCCGGGGAUAACAGGCUUAUCUCCCCCAAGAGUUCACAUCGACGGGGAGGUUUGGCACCUCGAUGUCGGCUCAUCGCAUCCUGGGGCUGUAGUCGGUCCCAAGGGUUGGGCUGUUCGCCCAUUAAAGCGGUACGCGAGCUGGGUUCAGAACGUCGUGAGACAGUUCGGUCCCUAUCCGUCGUGGGCGUAGGAAAUUUGAGAGGAGCUGUCCUUAGUACGAGAGGACCGGGAUGGACAUACCUCUGGUGUACCAGUUGUCGUGCCAACGGCAUAGCUGGGUAGCUAUGUAUGGACGGGAUAAGUGCUGAAAGCAUCUAAGCAUGAAGCCCCCCUCAAGAUGAGAUUUCCCAACUUCGGUUAUAAGAUCCCUCAAAGAUGAUGAGGUUAAUAGGUUCGAGGUGGAAGCGUGGUGACACGUGGAGCUGACGAAUACUAAUCGAUCGAAGACUUAAUCAA